UACGUAGGUGGCAAGCGUUGUCCGGAUUUACUGGGCGUAAAGAGCGCGCAGGCGGUCGUUCAAGUCGCGUGUGAAAGCCCCCGGCUCAACUGGGGAGGGUCACGCGAUACUGAUCGACUCGAAGGCAGGAGAGGGUAGUGGAAUUCCCCGGUGUAGUGGUGAAAUGCGUAGAUAUCGGGAGGAACACCAGUGGCGAAGGCGGGUCUCUGGGCCGUAACUGACGCUGAGGAGCGAAAGCGUGGGGAGCGAACAGG
rnacentral:rRNA from 1 species